GGAAAAGAGAAAGAAAGAGAAAGAAAGAAAGGAAAGAAAAAGAGAGAAAGAAAGGAAGGAAGGAAAGAUGAAGGAAAAUUGAGGCUGAGGAUCUGAGAUAGUCUGUAUAUGUAGCAACCUCUUUCGGCCACCACAUGGUUUUACUCCCUCAAUCUGCAGAGCUGUGCAGCAUUCUACUCCAAUGAUCAAGGACUCAGAAGAUCUUGUAUCUGGAAACUCAUGCUCCACCUGCAGCAGACCAGAGACCCUGGGGAAAUUCAUUUUGUUACACAGAAGCAGCCCUUUGUAGGGAGAGAGCAGUGAGGACAGUCCCUACAAUAGUGGCUGGGAGAUAAUGGCAGAGCUCAGGAUCCCUGUCCUCUACUGGGGAGAAAGGCAUGUAAGAAGAUGAGAAUGCCGAGUGUUAAAUGAGAAGAUCAGGAACCUGAGGCUUGAAGAAGUUAGAUGACCUGGUUAAGGCCACUUGACUGGAUUCAAACCCUGCCUGACUCCACAUGACUCCUUUGGGCAGCAUCGUGUGACCACACCACGUAAGAUCUAGGUCCUGCCUUGGAGAGCUGAUGAACCAAACCAGCAGGAAGGUAGACAAGUCCUGAUAAGGACACUUAAAAAAAUAAUAAUAUGGGUCUUGCUCCGUCACUCAGGUUGGAGUGCAGUGGUGCAAUCACAGCUCAGUGCAGUCUCAACCUCCCAGGCUCAAGUAAUCCUCCCACCUUGGCCUCCCAAAGUGCUGGGAUUAUAGACCUCAGACAUGGUACCCAGCCCUGAGAAGGACUUUGAUGAAAAAGUACAUGGUGUGUGGUGAGAGUGGCUCCCAGAGGAGGGGUUGAGUUGUAUUCCAGCAGGGUUAGUUGGAUAGGGGCGGAGGGAAAGUUCAGGACAAGAGAACAUCUCACAAAAGUGAGAACUUGUAGAAUAUCCUGACUUGUUAGGUGAAUUGUAGGCAGUCUUUAUGUGGUCAUAUGUGUUGGGGGCAGGAUGGGGAAGGCGAAUUCGGUCAGAUGCCGCCAACGAGGCAGCAGGAGCCAGAGCACUAAAGGCCUUGAGUGCUGACCUAAGGGAUUGAAAUUCCUCCUGCAAGUAGCAGGGGGCUACUGAAGCUUGAAGUGAGGUAUGACACAAUCUCAUUUUCAUCUUACAAGCUCAUUUUCAUGACUGCAAUAUGGGCAAGAAAGACAGGGUAGUCCAUUGAGUAGAUUAUUCCAGAAAUCCAAGUUGGAUGUAAUGCAACUUGCUGAACCACUGAACCAGAGCAGUGGUUACGAAGAUGUGGAGGAUAGAUUCAAGAGCUAGAAAAGAGAUAGAGGGAUCAGGACUUGGAGUGGUUUCUUUAUUCAUUGAUUCGUCCAUUCAAAAAAUACCUGUUGUGGCUGGGUGUGGUGG
rnacentral:lncRNA from 1 species